CACACACACACACACACACACACACACACGCAGGCACACCCUGUUCUCCACGAUUCCCGAGCACCUCACAGCGCUCAGCUGAAGGCCGGGAAGAGGCUCGGGCCAACAGGAGCGGGUCUCGGGCCCUUUGCGGAACCUGCGCUCGCCGAGCGGAGCGUGCACGUGCGCGUCUCCCGAGCACUCACAGCGCCGCCCGGCAGCCAGUGCCGCCGGCGCCAUUGGGAAGUGAAACGCGGGGCUGGGCGGCGGCCUCGUGCAAGCGGCCGGAAAAAAUCGGCGGCUUGCUCUGAUUAAAGAAACAAACGAAAGAGAGUGAGAAGGAAGGUGGACAAUAUACCUGCCCCACCCCCUACCAGUUUACUAAAGACAAGAAAAAAAAGAUAUGUGAGAUUUGAAGGGGAAGAAUGUGAGGAGUUCUGCCUCUGGAAAUUUAGACACAGAUAUGGACAUAAGGAGGAUGCCAUAUGAAGAUGAAGCAGAAAUUAAGCCAAGGGACACCAAAGAUCGCCAGCAAACUGCCGUGAUCCGGGGGAGAGGAAUGGAGCAGAGUCUGCCUCAUCACUCUCAGGAGGAACCAGUGUUACAGACACCUUGACUUCUAGCUUUUUAGAACUGUGAGCCAAUACAUUCCUGUUGUUUAUGCCAUCUAGUCUGUGAUACUUUGUUACAGCAACCCUAGCAAAUUAACACACCAACUCUCUGGUAAAAAUCUUGUUUCACUUUAAGGCUCAGAUCAUUCAACCCAGCUCAUCCUUCAGAUCUCAGUUAAAUGGUUAUUUGCUCCAGAUUACUUCCUUGAUUAGAGUCUUUGGUAUAAGUGCUCACAGAAUGAUUUUCAUUCUUUUUGGAACACUUAUUUACCUCAGUUUGCAAUUGUGCAAAAGUUAGUUGUUUGAUAUUUGGCUUUACUGCUUGCUCCAAAACUCCUUGACUCCAGGAAAAGUUUCUGUUGUGCUCACCAUCAUAUCCCAGAGUAGGUGCUCAGCAAAUAUUUGUUGAAUGAAUUAAAGCACUCCAUUGUUUUAGAAGUUAAUUCCUUUUUGAAAUACAAAUAACCUUUGGCAAAUAUAAUUCACCAAACCUUAUCAGUUAACUGAUAUUUAAUAUGUACAUGAAGGUUAGGUCCAAAAGGACUCUGAGUUUUGUGUUAUCAGAUAAUUGCUUCCUAAAUGACACUUGGCUUCUUUUUGAGUCCUAUUUCUUGCUUUUGUCUACUUUUGAUGAUGGUUUUAUUGACUUUUUUCUGGCUGAUUUGAAUUUUUUAUUGACAACCCUGUAGUCUUUAAAAUCUUAUCUUUUAACAGCAGUUGCCUCAGAUACUUUUAGAUUUCUAGGCAGUUGUUGUCACAUCUUAAUUUGUUUGUAGCCAUUACAUGGUGUCUUGGCCAUACUCCUACAUUUAGGCUUGUUUAUCUUCUAGUCAAGAUUUUAGAACAUUAAGAGGUAGAUGGCCUACCAUUAUUUUUAGCCCUAGAUGUAGGGAACUUGCUCUUUUUCAAAUGGUACUAACAAUAGCUAGUGCUAUCUUGAAAUUAGCCAAGGAUGCACCAUUAUGCAACUUAGGGCAGACGAUGCCCUGGUGAUGUCCACUGAAAAAAAUAGUCACAAUGCAGAAAUUGAGAGUUAUGUUUUAUUCGGUGGGGAUUUUUUAGGACUUCAAGCCCGGGAGACAGUAUCUCAAGUAACUGAGAGAAUUGCUCCGAGGAGGUAGGGGCAAGAGUCAGGAUAUAUAGAUGUUUGCAACAAAGGGCAAGUAAUCUAAACAUCAGAAGUAUUUUUGUGAAUUAAAGAAAACCAGAUAUCUCAAAUUAAGGAAUUUAGUGCUUUUCUGUGUGUGAGAAGAUGCAAGAAUGUAGGCUCACUGAAAUCACUCCUUUCAUGUGCAUCUCAGCUAUCUGGGACCAGUUUUUCUUCAGUGCUCACCCCAGGGAGCUGCCCAGAUAGCAGGUACUAUACUUCCCGGGUUCCCUUGGGGCUCAGAAAUUCACAUUUGGUGGAUUAGAAUUGCUGAUGAUUAUGACAUCCUUGUUUACUGAUAUGGCAGGAAAUACUCUUAAUUCUCAGUGAUAUAAAGAAGGCUGAGUACCAAAGAAUUGAUGCUUUCAAAUUGUGGUGCUGGAGAAAACUCUUGAGAGUCCCUUGGACAGCAAAGAGAUCAAACCAGUCAAUCCUAAAGGAAAUCAGUCCUGAAUAUUCAUUGGAAGGAUUGAUGCUGAUGCUGAAACUGCAAUCCUUUGGCCACCUGAUGCGAAGAACUGGCUCAUUUGAAAAGACCCUGAUGCUGGGCAAGAUUGAAGGCAGAAGGAGAAAGGGACGACAGAGGAUGAGAUGGCUGGAUGGCAUCACCAUUUCGAUGAAGAUGAGUUUGAGCAAGCUCUGGGAGUUGGUGUUGGACAGGGAAGACUGACGUGCUGCAGUCCGUGAGGUUGUAAAGAGUUGGACAUGACCGAGCGACUGAACAACAACAAAAUGACAAGGUAAUACAAGAGAAUGACAAUCUAUGAGGUGUUUCCUGGGUUUUUUAAAAUAGGUGUCUCUUCCCAGCUGGAGUAGGGUGGCAGGUAUUGUGUAGAUGUUUGAGAAAUGAUGGUGGAUUAAAAUACUAGACAAAAUCAGAGGGAAAAAUAUCAGAAUUUAGCUGCAUAAUUAGUACAUUGUAAAAUUUUAGUUUCCAGGUGGUGCUAGUGGUAAAGAACACACUUGCCAGUGCAGGAGACAAGAGAUGCUGGUUGGAUCACUGGGUUGGGAAGAUCCCUGGAGAAGGAAAUGGCAACCCACUCCAUUAUUCUUGCCUGGAGAAUCCCAUGGACAGAGGAACUUGAUGGGCAAUAGUCAGUUCAUGGGGUUGCAAAGAGUCGGACAUGACUGAUGUGACUUAGCACAGCACAGUACAUUGUGGUAUAAUAAAUAUAUUCGGUCCUCGCUGGCCCCACUUUCUUCUUGGCACGGAGCUGCUAAAACCCUCGAAAUCUCCUGAGAGAUGAUUGUCUUUUGUAUGCUAAUGAGAUGACUCCUGACUGAGGCUUCUAGAUAGCUUCAGAUUCAGGGCUAGAAAAAUCAAGCCAGAGUAAGAGGGUUGGACCUUUCAGUCCCCUAUCCGCGCUUCAGAGGAGAAGGGAACUAUAGACUGAAUUCACUCACCAAUGACCAAUAAUUGAACUAAUCGUGUCUAUGCAAUGAAACCUCCAUACAAACUCCUAAUCAGUCGGGUUCAGAGAGCUCAAUUGGUGAACAUGUUGAGGGCCUGGGAGGUGGUAUGCCUUGAGAGGGUGUGGAAACUUUAUUCAGCACUUCAGCAAACCCUCAUUACCACCACCACCUGUCAAUACCUUUCCCUAUGUAUCUUUUCCAUUUGGUUAUUCCUGAGUUGUAUCCUUUAUAAUAUAUCAGCAAACAUAUUUGUCAUUUGUGUAGCCCAGUGCCAAAUUAAUAGACCAAAAUGUGGUAUCAUUCAGCCCCAAAAUGUAACAAAGUACUGAUAUAUGUAUGCUACAGAGUGGCUGAACCUUGAAACUCUUAUGCCAAACAGAAGAAUCCAGUUACAGAAGGUCACAUAUUGUAAGAUUCUUUUCAUAUGAAAUGUCCAGAAUAGGCAAUUCCAUAGAGACAGGAAGUGAAUUAGUGGUUUCCAGAGGCAAGGGGAAAGGGGGAAUGAGAAACAGCUGCUAAGAUAUGGGGAUUCUUUUGGAGUGAUGAAAAUCCUCCAGAGUUGGAUCGUGGUGAUGGUAGCACAGUUCUGAAUGUAUUAUUUAACCACUGACUUAUAUACUUUAUUAGUGUGAACUUUAAGGUAUGUGCAUUGUAUUAUAAUAAAGUUGUUACUAAAAAAAAACAAAGAAAAAAUCCACAAAGACACCACCAUCCCUCAAAAAAAUCCCUGAACUUUUUAGUGACUUCCAUGCCUAUAUCUGUCUCUUUCACCUCAUCUACUGCUAUUGUUCCACUGGAUCGUUUUGCUUCAGCUUCACCAGCCUCCUUGCCAUUCUUCAAAUAUGCCAGGCCAUCCCCAGCUUAGGGUCUUAGAAGUCCUCUCUCUGGACUUCUCUUCCCCAGAGACUAAUUCUCUUAUCAUCAGGUGUCAUUUUCUUAUGCUGACUGUUCUAUUUAAUAUUGUUUACAACCUUCACCCUUCUCUGCUGAGCCUACCCUAUUUUUCUUUUUCUCUAGUACCUCUACUUUCAGAAUCUAGAGGUAGAUCUUAUGGGUUUGAUCCUGGACACUGACGCUGGGAGGGAUUGGGGGCAGGAGGAGAAGGGGAUGACUGAGGAUGAGAUGGCUGGAUGGCAUCAAGGACUCGAUGGACAUGAGUCUGAGUGAACUCCGGGGGAUGGUGAUGGACAGGGAGGCCUGGUGUGCUGCGAUUCAUGGAGUUGCAAAGAGUCAGACACGACUGAGUGACUGAACUAACUAACUAAUGCCACUGUUAAAGUAUGUGUGACUUGGUCAAGUUACCUAAUAUCCUUGAGCCUUAGUUUCCUCAUCUUCAUAAUGGGGAAUUUAAUAGUAUCUGCCUCAUGGAUGUGUUGUAAGAAUCAAAGUAUUUAAUACUUGCUAAAUGAAUAGCAUAUUGUCUGGCACAUGGAAAUUGUAGAAUGAAUGUUAGCUAUUUUUAUGCUUAUCACUUAGUAUUUUUAUGCUUAUUAUAGAUCCUUCUCCCCCUUGUAACAAGGGAGAAAGUGACUGAUCAGUUACUCACAAAUAUAGAAGAAACCAUUUAUAUUGUUGAUGUUGAGGAAUAAGUGAGAUGUCCAAAGUUUAGAGACAGUGUGAGAGAUUGAAAAUAAUCCAUAGUAGAAUUAAGCUUAUGUUAUAGUGAGGUACUCUGUGAUGGUUUUCCUAUUAAGUAUAAAACUUGGGAAUAUUGAGAUUUAAUCAUCUUGAAAGGGCCAUAUGAAAGAUUCUUGUGGUGAAGGAAACAUUUGUGUUUUGACUGUAUUAUUGUGAACAUCCUAGCUAUGUUUUGUAUUAUAGUUUUGCAAGAUGUUAAUGUUAGGGGAAACUGGAUGGAAGGUUCUCAGUAUCUGCAUUAUUUUCUAGAGUUGCAUGUGAAUCUAUUAAGUCUCUCAGAAUGAAAAUUUUAAUUAGGGCUUCCUUAGUGUCUCAGUGGUAAAGAAUCUGCCUGUCAAUGCAGGAGACACAGGUUCUACCCCUGAUCUGGGAAGAUCCCAGAUACCGAGGAGCAACUAAGCCCCUGCACCGCAACUGAUGAGCUUGUGCUCUUGAGCCCUGGAGCCACAACUACUGAGCUCAGGUGCCACAACUCCUGAAGCCCAUGUGUCGUGUGCUCUGCAGCAAGUGAAGCCACUGUAAUGAGGAGCCCAUGCACUGCAACUAGGGAAAAGCCCACAGAACAGGGAAGACUCACAAGAGCUG
ensembl:lncRNA